AGGACGAACGCUGGCGGCGUGCUUAACACAUGCAAGUCGAGCGAGGCCCCUCCUUCGGGAGGGUGUCCUAGCGGCGAACGGGUGAGUAACACGUGGGCAACCUGCCCUCAGCUCUGGGAUAACCCCGGGAAACCGGGGCUAAUACCGGAUACGACCACUUCACGCAUGUGAUGGUGGUGGAAAGUUCUGGCGGUGGAGGAUGAGCUCGCGGCCUAUCAGCUUGUUGGUGGGGUAAUGGCCCACCAAGGCAACGACGGGUAGCCGGCCUGAGAGGGUGACCGGCCACGACUGGGACUGAGACACGGCCCAGACUCCUACGGGAGGCAGCAGUGGGGAAUAUUGGACAAUGGGCGAAAGCCUGAUCCAGCAACGCCGCGUGAGGGAUGACGGCCUUCGGGUUGUAAACCUCUUUCACCUGUGACGAAGCGAAAGUGACGGUAGCGGGAGAGAAGCACCGGCAACUACGUGCCAGCAGCCGC
rnacentral:rRNA from 1 species